rnacentral:snRNA from 1 species
AUGCUUGCUUCUGGAGCACACAUACUGAAACAGGAAUAAUACAGAGAAAAUUAGCAUGGCCCCUGUGCAAGUAUGACACACAGGUUCAUGAGGUUCAUGAGCAUUUC